CCUCCCGCAAGCACACAGAUCCUCUCUUCUCUCCAUGUAGUCACUACUUGGGGAAGGGGAAUGGGUGGUAUCAGCAAUUCAAGACUGAUUUCUUUUCCAUCUUCAGCGCCCCUUUCCUUGAUAUGAUGUUAAAACCAGAACAAGAAACAGAUCGAGGAAGAGGCAGAGUAACAACAGCCGGGAAGAAGAUACAGUUUUGUCAUUUUGUAGUGAGACUGUGCCCUAUACAUGAACCUAUUUGCCAGACCCAUCAAGUGAAUUCCGUGAUUCUUAUGAAAAAUGCCAUUAGACCUGUGAGAGGGGCUGUGACAGUGGAACCCGAAUGAAGACAGGAAAAGUCUGUAGAGGACUGAUGGUUAUGUUCACCAUUCAAAUUGCAAGAAAACCAAUAAGAAGUCAGUAAAGUGCAUUCAAAGAGAAAGGUGGGACUCGUGAAGGGGCCAAGGGAAAAGAGCUUCAUUAGCAUAUUUGUCAAGCAGAUGUGAAAUGAGGCAGAAAACUACUAGAACAAUUGGAGAAAUCUAGAAUAUGAAGUUCCAGCACAAACUUAGAUGGCUUCUAACUAUGUGAAGGUUUGAACAGCAGCUUCUGACAUAGAAAAUAACCACAGCAAAAAGAAGCACUAACAAGUGACAGAUGUGGUUGACUCAUCUCCUUCUCCCUUCGACUCUCUAAUGAGCAAUUAAAUAGCCUGAAACAGAACAAUCAAGAGGUCUGGCAAAUCCACACACUAGAUGAUGAAGAAAUGUACAUCCAAGGAAAAUCAAACCAAGUAAAGGAGGAAAAACUUUGAGUUCUGCUUAAGGUCUAGGACUUCCUAAGGCUCAUUCCAGCUCCUCCAGAUGAAGGCAUUUUCUAAGCAGGAGACAAUUACAACAGCAAUACUAAACUGAUACACAAAGGAUCCCCGUACUUCAUCAAAAUAUCAAUGUUGUCCAUGACACACAAAGAACCCAGCUGUAGUUUAAUUCAGCAUCACAGUCCCAACAUGUUUUAAAACAUGUUCCAGCUUUUGGUCCCAGGAUUAUUCAACCUAGCUCAUAAAAGAAAACAAUAUUGCAUUUCUAAGUAUUGGCUCCUAGAAUUGGCAAGUUUAGUCAAGAAAAGCUGGAAUGCCGUUAAAACAACACCCUGUCAUCUUUCAAUCAGUCCUUAGCUGAAGUUAAAAUCCCACUCAUUCUGCAUGAUCCAGCCUCUGUAGCAUAGAGUGAGUAGCCCCUUAACAAGAACCAAAAUGGAGGGUACGGAUGAGGCUCAGAUCGUCACCACCUGGAGAAUAGAGACAGUGACUGAGUCACCAGGAAAUCUGUCCCCUGCUCAUCCCAGAAUCCCCGAGCUUUGACUUUUUAAGAGAACAUGUGACAGAUAAUGCCAUCUGAGAAGAUUCACAGAGCAACCAAAUAAAGAUGAUUGAGUGAAUGGCUAAAGAAAUAAAUAUGUUCGAAUCUGUACCCAUCUCAUGUCUUUCCUGAUGAUUGCCUCCUUUACUGUAUGUUUUCCACUGAGAUGAAGAUUUUGGUCAUUUCCUCAUUCAUGUUCCUGCUUUUCAAAACCCAAGCAAGAAAGGAAACUUCUACAGUGACUUUCUCAUUAUGAAAUCUUAGCAUUCACUAGUCGGCCAUAAUGGAAAACCAGCCAAAUGGACACAUAUACACUGGUCUGUACCCGCAGAGAAAGAAAUGCAAAUCUCUGUGAUCAGAAAACUAUCCUAUCUUGUACAUUGUUAAAAGUCUGCCUCCAAAAAGUUUACUUCUGGAAUACUGUAAUUGAAUAGAAUCAGGGAUCCUACCUGUGUCCUUCAACUUUCACAUCUUGUCUACUCAAGUAAGGGUUGAAUUUGCAUGACUAUAUCUAAGGUUCGAGGGCUUACCUGUUGGCAGUAGACCCAGUAGUCUAUGAAUGGAAAUGGGCAAACCUGUGACCUCCCAAAACUUUAAUAUGAAAGUUUUGUUUGUGUAUACUCAUGGCAUUAUUCUUUUAAUAAAGAGAUAAUCUAUAUA
rnacentral:lncRNA from 1 species